UUAUAACAAUAAUUCGUGGUUCUGCGAGGCCCCAGACUCGGGUUAUCGAAUGAGGAAACGUGGAACAUUGAACCGGAUAGAUGAAAAUGUCAUCACCAACUAGUGGAGUUUCCUGUGGGGAUAGUAUUGGGAAUAAGUUUGGUGGGUGGUGAUUGAUUAUUUUUAUUCCGUGGAUUUCAUGUCAGUGUGUACAUCUACUUAAUAAAAAUGCAUGAAAACGAAAUAUGUUGAUGUUAAAUUAUGAAAAGAAAUCUAUUGAUCGAACGAGAGCGUGGUAGGAAAUAUCACGGUGCGUUAGUGCAAGGAUCCUAACCUUGUUAAAAAUGAAGUCGGGCACCAUGGACAAACAUAGAGGCUCUACAAUUCUGAAAUCAGAAGAAAAUGAGCAAGUCUUCCAAUUAAUAGGAAAUCGGUGCCAGUGUUUAGCAGCUGGAGUUAUACAAUUAUAUUUGACAGAACCGCCACUACAUAAAGAAUGGAUAAAGAAAACUACAGGUAUUAUAACAUUGAUAAGGGAUAAUCCUAGACGUAGUUUCUUCCUUCGUUUGUAUUGCUUACAAAGAAAAGCAAUGUUGUGGGAACAUGAAGUUUAUAAUGCAAUGGAUUAUAAAGCGCCAUUGACAUACUUUCAUACAUUUGAAGCAGAAGAUUGUAUGGCGGCUUUUAAUUUUGCAAGCGAAACUGAUGCUGUUACUUUAAGAAAUAUUCUUCUUGGUAAAUUGAAUGCCAAACGUCAAAAAAGGCAGCAAAGACGAUCUAAAAUAGAAGGAGAAGUUCAACAUGGUGCAACGUUACCCUGGAGGAAUCAGAGUAACACAUCACCCACUACAUUUAGUACAGGAUCAACUUCUAAUUUAUUAAAUGGAACUCCGACCACUGUUGAUGUCAAUAGAAGCGCUUCAAGUAGUUCCAUAUACAAAACUAAAAAGAAAAAGCGAGAUAAAAUGAAAAAGAAAUUAACAAAAGAUGACAUAGGUCCUCCAUCUAACUUUAGACAUGUUAUGGGAUGGAAUUCUAAUAAUAAAGGACUGGAUUUAGAAUCGCUUGAUUUAUAUUUAAAAAUUUUUCUCGAUAAAGUAGGAGUAUCGGAACAUCAAUUCAGGAACCAAGAGACACGCAAUUUUAUUUACGAUUUUAUCGAGAAGAAUGGAGGCAUGAAUGCCAUUCGAGAAGAUAUUUCUUCCUCUGUCUCAAAAGCUAAUACACAGCAGCAGUCACAACAACAGCAACAUCAACAGCAGUCACAACAACAACAACAACAGCCACAACAACAACAACAACCUCCAGUUGCACCUCCAAGACAGGAAUAUCCUCCUCCAGUUCCUGCAAGAACUAUACCUCAUCAAACAAGAAGUGCUCCACCAUUACCUCCAAGCCGAUUUAAUGCACCUUCGACACCGCCAAAUGCACCGCUUACUGCGCCCCCAGUACAUAGAACAUUACCAACGCGACCACCUCCAGUUUCUUUAACUUCGGCACCAUCACUGCCACCACCUCCACCUCCGGCUCCACCAGCUCCAACUCCACCCUCCAGAAAUAAUUCUACUGCACCUGUUCCACCUCCACCUCCAUUGCCUAACCUAAUAAACGCCAAUGAAGGAACUGUGAAUACAAGUGCUACCAAUAAUAAUAAUCAUAGUAAUAAUAAUAAUAACGAAGAAAAUGCUGAUCCUAGAUCAAUGCUCAUGCAGUCCAUAAGAAGUGGCACCACGCUUAGAAAGGUUGAUAAAUCUGAAACAAAACCAGCAGCUCCUGUUGGGGACUCUAGAAAUGCUUUAUUGGAACAAAUUCGUCAGGGAAUUGAAUUAAGGCCUGUUUCGAAUGAAGUAAAGUCUAAAACACCAGUAUCUCAAGGUGGAUUAGCUAGUGCUUUGUCAAGAGCUCUUGCAGAGCGAUCAAGUGCAAUCCAUAGCGAAAGUGAUGAAUCAACUAGUGAAACCAGCGAAGAUGACGAUGAAUGGGAUGAUUAAUUCAGAUGAAAUAUGCAAUUCGAAGAAUACAAUAAUAUACCACUGUGAUAAAUCUGCUAUUGAUAAACAUGUAAACAUGAAUAGCUACUAUAAAUGUAUAAUGUAACGAUUUUGAAUUUGAAUUAUCCAAAGAAGAAUGAAAAUCAUAUAAAUGUUCUGAAAAGGGAAAACCACUUAAACAUGUUAUCAAAAAGUAAAGCACAAUUAAAUGGAUAGGGCAGGAACCAGAAAAAAGUUGCGUUUCAUAGGAUACAAGGAAACUAACGUUAAGUGAGUUUUCAUUACACGAUAUUCUAAUUUAAAAUGACGCAUCAAACGAUUCUUGAAUGUCCUAUUAAAGUAUGUAUAAAGUACGAUUAACGAUGUAGUAAGAAUUUUAUAUUUUCACGUGUGUGAUAUAGGUAUCAAGUUCGCGGAAAUGAAGCGCAAACUGAGAAAUUGUCUAUGGAAAUGUAUGAAGCACAAGAUAGAGUUACGCCACUAUGGAGCAAUCCUAGUCACACCAGAAAAAAAAGAAUAUGUUAAUUAUUAGUUAUUGUAUUUUAUUAUAUUCUAUGCAAUAUUAUCUAACGUAAAUAUACCGUUCGACGAAUGACUACAUUCGACUGAUUAAAAUCACACGUUACAGGAUUUGUUCGGCUGCUUCAAUCUUUAAUCAAGCGUAAUCAUUAUCGAGAGCGUAAUCAAGAAAGGAGCUAUAACUAUAUUUGUUAAUUAGAAUAAAGAGAAGAUAGUGACAAAUAUUUAAAUGAAAAAAGAAAGACUUGUUAUAGAUGAGCUAAUAGCAUAUGAGAAUAAGACUCAAGAGGAUUACAAAUUCUACAAUUGAUGAAUGCAUCAGAAGUAUUGUUGUAUUUAAGAAACAAAUAGACCUAUAGUGGACGCGUAUUUUUGUCCAGUUUCCAGAGGUACAUUCGUCGUCGACCGAAUGUACGAAUAUAGACAUGUUACAAAUCGUAUUCGGUUUGUAUUGUGACUACCAAAUAUGAAAAACUAUAAAAAAAAGAAUUAAUUCACUUUAA
rnacentral:misc_RNA from 1 species